UACGUAGGUGGCAAGCGUUGUCCGGAUUUACUGGGUGUAAAGGGCGUGUAGGCGGGAAGGUAAGUCAGAUGUGAAAUACCGGGGCUCAACUCCGGGGCUGCAUUUGAAACUAUCUUUCUUGAGUGCAGGAGAGGAAAGCGGAAUUCCUAGUGUAGCGGUGAAAUGCGUAGAUAUUAGGAGGAACACCAGUGGCGAAGGCGGCUUUCUGGACUGUAACUGACGCUGAGGCGCGAAAGCGUGGGGAG
rnacentral:rRNA from 1 species